CCCCUGGUUGUGCAGUGGUCAAGCACUUGGCUGCGAACUAAAAGGUUAGCAGUUCAACUGCUCUAGGGGA
rnacentral:tRNA from 1 species